GACGAACGCUGGCGGCGUGCUUAACACAUGCAAGUCGAACGGAAAGGCCCUGCUUGCAGGGUGCUCGAGUGGCGAACGGGUGAGUAACACGUGGGUGAUCUGCCCUGCACUUCGGGAUAAGCCUGGGAAACUGGGUCUAAUACCGGAUAGGAGCCAUUUUUAGUGUGAUGGUUGGAAAGUUUUUUCGGUGUAGGAUGAGCUCGCGGCCUAUCAGCUUGUUGGUGGGGUAAUGGCCUACCAAGGCGGCGACGGGUAGCCGGCCUGAGAGGGUGGACGGCCACAUUGGGACUGAGAUACGGCCCAGACUCCUACGGGAGGCAGCAGUGGGGAAUAUUGCACAAUGGGCGCAAGCCUGAUGCAGCGACGCCGCGUGGGGGAUGACGGCCUUCGGGUUGUAAACUCCUUUCGCUAGGGACGAAGCUUUUUGUGACGGUACCUAGAGAAGAAGCACCGGCUAACUACGUG
rnacentral:rRNA from 1 species